UUUUCUUCUCUUCUUUCCCGCUCUGUGUUUUCUCUUGUUUGAUGACGGUCUUGUACGGUAUUUGAGUCUUGUGCCUUCUCUUACAUUAUAUGCUCUGUGGUUGUUAUUGUUGUGAUUGUUGUUGUUAUUGUCUAUGCUGCCGCCUGGUGUACCCCUCCUCCUCCUCUUCCUCCUCCUCCUCUUCCUCCUCCUCCUCUUCCUCCCUGGAAGCCCUCCGACAUUGACGUACGUGUUUGACUCCUCCAACCAAACUUUAUCUCUCUUCAAUGUUUAAUAACCCACUGCUAAUAACAUGCUGCUUAGCUCCUCAUCAGCUGUCCUUGUUUUCCCCCUGUCUCCCCAUGAACAACGAACUCUCCNNNNNNNNNNACCCCCCCCUUUUCUUCUCUUCUUUCCCGCUCUGUGUUUUCUCUUGUUUGAUGACGGUCUUGUACGGUAUUUGAGUCUUGUGCCUUCUCUUACAUUAUAUGCUCUGUGGUUGUUAUUGUUGUGAUUGUUGUUGUUAUUGUCUAUGCUGCCGCCUGGUGUACCCCUCCUCCUCCUCUUCCUCCUCCUCCUCUUCCUCCUCCUCCUCUUCCUCCCUGGAAGCCCUCCGACAUUGACGUACGUGUUUGACUCCUCCAACCAAACUUUAUCUCUCUUCAAUGUUUAAUAACCCACUGCUAAUAACAUGCUGCUUAGCUCCUCAUCAGCUGUCCUUGUUUUCCCCCUGUCUCCCCAUGAACAACGAACUCUCCACUCCUCCCUCCGUCCCUCCAUCCCUCCCUCCCCCCUCCCCCCCAUCAGGACUUCUUGGGGCAGGUGUUCUGUACCUUGGGAGAGAUUGUAGGAUCACCCGCCAGUCGACUGGAGAAACCUCUGGGCGGGAUGAUGUCACCAUGAGCAGCAGGACGAUGUUACCAUGAACAGCAGGAUGAUGUUACCAUGAGCAGCGGGAUGAUGUCACAAUGAGCAGCAGGAUAAUGUUACCAUGAGCAGCGGGAUGAUGUUACCAUGAGCAGCGGGAUGAUGUCACCAUGAGCAGCAGGAGGAUGUUACCAUUAUAGAACAAAGUUUGUUUGAUCUGAACAGUUUAGUUUUAGAAGUUUUAGAACUCUCGUGUGAUGCAGCGGUAUCACAACUGGCAGUGAUUGGGUUUAGCCAGUGUAGCCCGUCAUUAUAAAUAUUAAUUUGUUCUUAACUAACUUGCCUAGUUAAAUAAAGGUUAAAUUCAUUUAAAAAAAUGUUUCUGCAGCUUGCUAGCCUAUCUUGCGGAUGUUUCUCUGACAAGUCACACGGUGUGGCCUGUUUCUGGUACACAUAUUCCGUGAUACAUCUUUGCUAAAACACCUUGCUACAACAAGUGGCAACUUUGUAUCAAAGUUUCAUCACUUCGUUGUAAAGCGGCGCCGUUGCCGUAGAAACGGUCUUGACUGCACAUCUCUCCCCUGUUUGAUCUGCGACCUGAUCUUCAGUCAGCUGUUUUUACAACUCGACAUUCUUAAACUGUCUGGUUUUGUAUCUGAACUGGGCUUUAGAAUGAAGCGUCAUGUACAGCGAGCUCUAAAAGUAUUGGUGACAUAUUGUUUUGGACAAUGAUGAUGGGGUUAAAGUGGAGCCUGUCAGCUGUAAUUUAAGGAUAUUUUCGUCCAUAUAGGUUGGACCGUUUAGGAAUUACAGCACGUUUUGUACAUAGACCCCCCCCCCCCAUUUUAGAUGCACCAAACUCAUACCCCCAAGACAUGCUAACCUCUCACCAUUAAUUACAAUAACAGGGAGGUUAGCAUUUUGGAGCAGGGUAUGAUAUUUAUGCCUCUGUAACUUUCUCACAAUUCGUUCAGGAUUAUCCGUAAUCAUGGUAGCAUCCACAUUAAUGUAGAAGUGUUCAGAAACAUAUUCUGUUCUUAUUUAUAAUAAAAGUGGCUCCAAAAUGACACAAUACAUUAUUUACCAUUUAAUAUCUAUUGGGCUCAAAAUAAUCUGAAACACAACCAAAACAAACAGUAAAUGCAUCCAACAAGUUUGAAGAGUCACAAGCUUGAUGUAGUCAUUACGUGCUAUGAAUACGGGACCAAAUACUUACAUUUGUACUACUUUAAUACACAAUAAUUUUGGUCCCCUAAUAUGAAUGAAAAUACCCACAAUUUUAAGCUGCCAGUCUGCACUAACCUCAUAAUCAUUGUAUAAUUUCAAAUCCGAAGUGCUGGAGUACAGAGACAAAACAACUAAACAUUUGUCACUGACACACUACUGUUAGAGCUCACUGCAUAUUAAGAGCUCACUGUAUAUUAAGAGCUCACUGCAUAUUAAGAGUUCAUUCUAACAUCGUUGCACUGCUUCACCAUCCCAAUGGCUGUUAGACAAAGUAGUUCCCUAACAAAUAAUUCCCUAAUCACUUGGGCCAAUCAACAGAUGGCACACGAGUCAAACGACCUCGCUCCGCCUCGAGAGUUGAACUAUGUUCAGCCAUGUAGCCAAAUUGUACACUUGUACCAGUUGCCAUGUGGCUUGACUUUAUCCGUGGCGCCCACUAUAUCAUAAAAGCACCAUUGACUCUGGAGUCAUCAAACAGGCCUCUUUAUAUUUCUGUGUGCAUUGGAACGUAAACACAGCUAGCCAGCGCUUCUCAUUGGCUUCCAUGUGUUCUAGGGCUGUGUGUAACAAAUAGCACUCUGUUCCCAACAUAGUACACUACUUUUGACCAGAGCCCUAUGGGAGCCCUUACGGGCAAUGGUAAAAAAAAAGAAGAAGUGUGCACUGUAAACGGAACAUGAUGCCAUUUGGAACAAAGCCCUAGGCUGUGGGAUGACGAUAAAUAUGUCUGUCAUCCAUAGCCAUCUGUGGAGUACUUUAACUGUUCAGAUAACAUUGGGGUGAGAUGAUGGCACUGGUAAUUGAACAGGACUCGGGGCUUCCU
rnacentral:lncRNA from 13 species